rnacentral:lncRNA from 1 species
AGAUGGUCUAUAAAUUGCAUAUUCAUUACUUGUCUGCUCUAUUUAGAUUUCUUUUAAAAGUUUAAGUAAAUAUUUUUAUAAAACCCAGAAAACGCUAUAUUACAAAAUAUUAUUUAUUAAAUGUAAUUCAUGAAAUAAUCUAUUUUUACUCUUUUUUGGGAAAUACUUGUGUUUUUGAUACAUCUCCAUGAAGUGCUUUUGACAUGAGAGGCUAUUUUGAUGUUUUUAUACAAAUGAUGGUUAACAGGCAUAGCGUUUUAGGAUACUUUACAGUAGUCCUGGCUGUUUCUCUGAAAUGUAGACUUGGAAAAUCUAUUAGAAAGCAGAACAGGGGCAAACUCUCAAUUUUACUUAUGGCUUUUUUAUUAUUUAUUUAUUUUUUUUUUUUUUGAGACAGAGUCUCGCUCUGUUGCCAGGCUGGAGUGCUAUAAUCUUGGCUCCCUGCAACCUCUGCCUCCCGGGUUCAAGCGAUUCUCCUGCCUCAGCCUCCCGAGUACCUGGGACUACAGGCAUGUGCCACAACGCCUGGCUAAUUUUUGUAUUUUUAGUAGAGAUGGGGUUUCACCAUGUUGGCCAGAAUGGUCUCGAUCUCUUGACCUCUUGAUCCACCCACCUUGGCCUCCCAAAGUGCUGGGAUUACAGGUAUGAGCCACCGUGCCCAGCCGGCUUAUUUUUGUUCACAGGAAAUCUUCAACAACUCAUUCUGUCCACCAGAUGGUAUUUUUCUGUAAACUGAAAUGCUGACUUCGCCUCUUCCAGCUGUACACUCAUCCCUGCACUGAGCACAGAUAGGACAAGCAGUAGCCAUGGGGGAGGUGAGUGACAAAGAUAGGACCCUGGGAGGGGGCGCAGGUACAUGCUAGUUUCAAUUACCACAAUAUUCUAGAGGCGGUCUGCAAUGACAAGGAGGGCAAAUGAAAUUAGUGCAAGAUUUCUUAGAGAAUAAUGGGCAGACGGAAAAAAUGUAAAAACAACAUAAAACAGGGUCUGCUGAUAAUGUUUUAAAAUAUACAUUUAUCUUCUUUUUGCAUUGUGAAAAAAUAAAUUUUGUGUGAUAGUUUUGAUGAUGAAAGGUAGAAGUUCUACCUAUAUUUGAAUGAGUUUUUUUUUAAGGUAAUGAGAAUGUCAUGGAGCUAAACUUGACAAAGAAGAGAUCAUUGAAAUGCUGAAAAUUUUAGCAGUCUUCUUAAAAGUAUUGAGGGGGCAAAAAUUACCAAUUAUGCCAUACCAAAAUAAGCCUAUAAAUGUGUUUCACAUUGCUAACUUGUGUUUCAGUUGAUUCAGUUUGUAAUAACUAGUUAUGAACUUCUGUUUACAAUAAAAAUUCUGUAAAUUGUUUGCUGUUA